GACGAACGCGGGCGGCGUGCUUAACACAUGCAAGUCGAACGAAGAGCGAUGGAAGCUUGCUUCUAUCAAUCUUAGUGGCGAACGGGUGAGUAACGCGUAAUCAACCUGCCCUUCAGAGGGGGACAACAGUUGGAAACGACUGCUAAUACCGCAUACGAUCUGACCUCGGCAUCGAGGAUGGAUGAAAGGUGGCCUCUAUUUAUAAGCUAUCACUGAAGGAGGGGAUUGCGUCUGAUUAGCUAGUUGGAGGGGUAACGGCCCACCAAGGCGAUGAUCAGUAGCCGGUCUGAGAGGAUGAACGGCCACAUUGGGACUGAGACACGGCCCAGACUCCUACGGGAGGCAGCAGUGGGGAAUCUUCCGCAAUGGACGAAAGUCUGACGGAGCAACGCCGCGUGAGUGAUGACGGCCUUCGGGUUGUAAAGCUCUGUUAAUCGGGACGAAAGGCCUUCUUGCGAAUAGUUAGAAGGAUUGAC
rnacentral:rRNA from 1 species